UGAUCUUGGUACUAGUCCAUAACGAUCAAAGUCGAAUCGUGAGCCUAUUAACGAAGCAAAUUCAAUGAAGCAACAACUGGUACCAUAGAGAAGUGGCCAUAAACUGGAGAGUCUUGACCAAUUUGAAAGAUUAUUUGAUGUAGUUGAAAUAACUGAAAUUUUAGUUGUUUGAUCAAGUAAAAG